GGGAAGGCGGCGGCCUAAUCAUGCAAGUCGAACGGCUGCACAUAAAAACUUUGCUCUUUGGGUGGCGAGUCGCGGACGGGUGAGUAAUGUCUGGGAAACUGCCCGAUGGAGGGGGAUAACUACUGGAAACGGUAGCUAAUACCGCUUAACGUCUCAAGACCAAGGUGGGGGACCUUCAGGCCUCAUCCCCUCGGAUGUGCCCAGAUGGGAUUAGUCUAGUAAGUGGGGUAAUGGCUCACCUGCGCAACAAUCCCUAGCUGGUCUGACAGGAUGACCAGGCCACACUGGCAACUGAGACACGGUCCACAACUCCUACGGGAGGCAGCAGUGGCGGAAUAUUGCACAUCUGUCGCGCAUGCCUGAUGCUCCCAUGCCAGCGUGUAUGAAGAAAGGCCUUCAAGGUUGUUAAAGUACUUUCAACUCUGGUAGGAAGGCGGUGAAGGUUAAUAUACCUUCGAACAAUUGACCUUCCCCGACAGGAACAAACACCCGGACUAACUCCGUGCCCUCCGCUCCCGGCAAUACGCGAGUGGUGCAAGCGUUGAUCGCAAUUUUCUGGGACGUAUAGCGCACUACAGGCGGUCUGUGUGGUCUUCAUUGUGAAAUCACCCGGGCUCAACCUGGGAACUGCAUUUGGAACUGGGAGGCUUGAGUCUCUUGAGGGGGGUAGAAUUCCAGGUGUAGCGGUGAAAUGCGGUGAAGAUCUGGAGGAAUACCGAGUGGCAAAAGCGGCCCCCUGGACUAACACUGACGCUCCUGUGCCAAAGCCUGGGAAGCAAACAGGAUUAAAUACCCUUAGUAAUCCAAAG
rnacentral:rRNA from 1 species